ensembl:lncRNA
GAUCUUCAGCUUGCUGUUCUUCAUCUGCUCCAUCAGCUAAUGAGUGGGAUCCCUGUGCCAUCCAGGCUCUGCCCUCAUGUGUGGGUGCAACACCGGGGAGGAGAGACGUGGUUCUGGAGGAGAUCAGAGGCUGUCUGAAGAGGUGUCUGCUGUUAGAGGAGUAACGUGACUGCUGUGUCAUUCAGCUUUCCUGCCUGAGUCUACAGGGAUGGCUUUUGCAUUGCAGGAAAGGAGAAUAUGUCAGAGUGCCUCAACGUUGGGCUUUUGCCUGGCUGGGAGCUUCAGUGUCUCAGUCCAUCUGGCACAAGUCCUUUCUAGCAGGGCCGUUGCAAACAGUGUUGAUGUGUUGAGGUAUAGCUGCACCCAGUAUUUAUUUCUGCAUGCCUUGUGCUGUGUGGUAUAUGGAAAGCUGGUAUGUGUGUGUCCUUGCUUCAGUUUGUAUCUGAUCAGCAGGCAGAGAGACAACCAGAAGAAAAUCCUGAUUUUGCAGCUGGUACAUGGCUGAGCAAAGCCUCUGGGACACCACAGUGGAUAGGGCACUGCAGAGGGAGCAGUCAGAUGCUUCAGUCAUUACUGGAAACACCCAAUGGCCCAGAUCUUCAUCCCUUGCUCUGUGCUUAAAUUACUAUGGUUCCUUCUGCUAAUUGUUCUGCUUCUGUUUCCUGUUUCUGCAAAACAGGGAAAUGUUCACAGGCUGUUGUGAGGCCUAACCAUCCACCAAAUGCAACAGGAAUUUGCUGGUGUCCUUGGAGACAAGGAGCUUCUGGGAGAUGAUGCUCUUGGUGAUGUCUGAACAGGUUUUUGGCUAAGUAAUGAGGCAGUGCAUGGGUGUAAUAGACCUGAGCUGCUGCAUUCUGAUGGGGGAAGCUAAUUAGCACAUGGUGAAGCAGCACUGUGGUGCAUCAUGUCUUGGAUGCAGGAUGGAGAUGAACAAACUGGCACCCUGUGGAGAGAGAAGGCAGCCUGUGACUCACUGCGAAGGUAUUGCCCCAUGUUCCUACAGCCUUGAGGCUGGCCUGCAGGACUGGUGGCAGAAGGUGGGGUGGAGUUGCAGCUCUAUCAGGAAAGCAGGAACUGCCUGAGUUAGCAGUGGCUCUGAAUAACGAAGCAGGUGUCUGCACCUCCCUGGAGCACAGCGUCCCACAGUUGGCAGCAGAAGGCUGGAGUCCGUCCGGAGCUCUGAUGGACUUUGGGUGCUGCUGCCUGCAGGAUCACCUCCUACAGAACUGUAAAGAACAGGUAAAUCUCUCCUCUAGGGCUCCGUCAGUACAUCUCAUAAGGGAAGCUUCUCCUGUAUGAUUAAUUGAAGGCAAACAGGAGAUGUUAAGCAGUUUGUCUUGUACUUGGGGGGUUAGUAUUGUUGAGGAAGCUGGGAGGUGAGAAGGAAGGGAUGGGAAGUAUGAUCGUGUUGAGCAUGCAUUGUAGGGGAUGUAAUGUGGAACUGUUUCAUGGACAACUUGUUUGCAUCCCCCAGGUGUUACAGUAGGGGGUAUUAUAAUAAAAACUAAUCUGUGCAAUUUAGGAUCUGUAUAUUGUAGGGAUAUGUGUUAAAGUCAGAAUUUAUCAAAUGCAUUAUUUUAAAAAGAGGAACCUGUCUUUUAAAUUACAAGUUAGGAAAACUAUUUGGAGAAGUAAGAUGUUUACUCUUCCAUCUGAAGGCUGAGAAUAGCAAAGCCAAGCUGCUUUAGGACAUGGGACAGAAUUUGCUCUUGUUCUGCAGCUGCUGCUGGAGGUUUACUGCAGCUUGAAGGUGGUUUUUCUUGGCAUGGCAUUCAUCCUGGUCAGCAGAACAGGCUCAGCUAGACGUAGCUUUCGAUUCUGUGGUGUAGUAAUGGACGAGGUUGCUGAAAUACCUGUAUGAAAACAUGUGAGUAUCCUGAUCUAGUUUAGAGGCUAGCCUUGCUUUAGGCAGGCAGUUGAGCUGGCUGAUGUGCAGGAGUGUCUUCUAACAAAUAUUUCUGAACUUGGAAAACUGUCAUUUAAUCUUUUCAUUUGAGUUUCCUUCUGAGUUUGCCGAGUUUCACCCAGAAGUUUCACAGGUGAAACUUGAGCUCUGCUUAGCCUUAAGACAGGAGUACUUGAAUCCCCAGUGAGAGAGGACCUGCUUGCAUCAGGCAGUUGUUUCCACCUUCAGAAGAGCCGUGGGUCAUUGCUCAGGUACCAGCUCAAAGCUUGCGAGUGGGUCACUUGCAGCUUAAAGCUCCCCUUGACAAAAGGAAGAUGACAAUGCUGGGAGUGAACGUGAAAUAAAUGUGCUCGAUGAAAUGCAGCUUAUGGUAUCACAUAGCUCAGUGAUGACAGCGAUUCUGCAAAUCUUACCUGACUGGACUUUUUACCUUUCUUGGAAUGCAGUAUUUCCGUAACAGGAGAGAAUUACCGUCCUCCACACCCCUCAGCUUGUUUUAUAUUGGUGCUUUCUUUACAGGCCAAUUCUGCGUAUUGUUAUGUGAUCCAACAAACUUGUUCCUGUCGCGUUGUCACCCACAGGGUAACACUGAGGUCACUGUGAAGUGAAACAGGUCUUGUGUUAUCUAUUCUAAAGGGGAAACUGCUUUCUGAGGGGGAUUCGUAGCCCUAACCUGGUAAAUACAGGAAGAAGUGUGAUGUGUAAGCUUCCAGUGACACCCCUGGCCUUGAAGUUGCACUCCAGCAUGCUAACCUGCCCUGUGCUUUCGUUGUUUCCAGUCUCAAUUCACCGGAAUCACAGAAUGCUGUCCACGUGUACACAGUAACAGUGAAUUUGCCAGGUACUUGGACUAAAGGGAGGUGAAAAAGAUCUGGUGUAACACAACUGCUGAACCAAGAAAGGUCCUCAGCUGAUUGACCACCAUUUUUGUACAGUUCUUCCAGCUCCAGACUGCUUGGUUUCCCUGUGAGCCUUCAAAGCUGGCUGCCCAUGCCCUCCCACAGCAGUAGACAGUUUCAGCUGGGUGUUCCACUUGUGCUUUUCCUAAAGCACUGGAACGCCUACAGGUAAGAGGCGACAGAGGGGAUGUCAAAGGAUUUGAAAAAUGAAAGGCAGGAUCACUGUCUGCUGCACAGAUACAAGGCUGCUCCCCAAAGCAUCUUUCUCUGGCCCUGUUGUGCUUAAUUUUUAGUGGCUCAAAAAAGUUUUACAGUUCCCAGAACAGCCAAUUCUGCAGUCUCAUUUCUCCCCGGAGGAGGAUGAGAGAUGAAGUAGUAUCUUCCUCUUCUGUACCUGAUUGCUUUGCUCUUCUGUAGCUGUGCUUGUCCCUGACCUGGUAAUUGCCUUUGAGGUAGUCUGCUUUGUUCUGAUUCUGAUGGGAAAUGCUGGAUGGAUGAUUAGGUCAUUGUUUAAACAGACAGCUAGAUCCAGAGUGGGACACGUUUUCAGGGCAAGAAGGAAGGGACUGUUGUCAGGUCUUGAUUUUGAUGUUUUGGAAUUGUUUGCUCUCUUCCUCAGGGUGAAAAGGCUUACAGUCAAGAAGUGAUUUGUUAAUUAAUCGCUGCUGUCUUCUGGGACACAGGGAAUGGAGCCGUUGUUCUGUUAUCGCAGUGCCUGUGUCACACAAGACUCCCUAGGAGUAAUAACCUGCUUGUGAGGCUGUGAUGCAAGAGUUGAGGAAGUGCUUUGCCCUGAAGGUUGUCUUCUCAGAUGUUUCCAGGAACUGAGGAGUGCAGGAUUGCUAGAUAACACCACGUCUAGAGCAUCUGAGGCUGUUCCACAUGGAUAAUAGGAAAGUCAAAUGGCUUUAAUACGUGUGAGUACUGGUUCCUUUUUUCAUUUAUUUUUUUGCAGAUGGUUGUGUUUCCAGUGAGUUCUCCUUCUAACACCACAUGUGACAUAAAAGCAAAGCUGUGCAAUCAAGUGAACCCAGCAAGAGUUCAAACAGUCUUGUGCUUUAAACUAUUAAGCAUCUGGAAACACAUCAUUGUUCUGCUGUUUUGCCUGAACAGUGUUGUGUGAAAUUUGGGAACUGAGAUAAGGAUUGCAGACAUGGAAACUGGUUUAUCUUGCUAGUAUUUGUAAUGCAAGACUGGUGGUCAAGAACAGAGUAUCUGUCAGUUUAUGGCCUUGAGCCUCUUCUCCCUUUAGAGCUGUUUCCAUUAGUACUGUUGCAGUUGCAUCACUGACUCUUUCUUUGUCCCCAGACUCUUCCCUUCUGUGAAUGAGAAGAAAGGAGAAGAUUGAACAUCCUGCCCUAACUUCUCUCCUUGCGUGAUGCCAGCUACAUGAACAUAAUUGCACCAAUUACAGGGAGUUGUGCAACUUUACGAACUGUCUAUAAAAGUUCUGCUCUUAGAAGAUGGGUGGCCAGAAGGGAGCAGAGUAUCCUUCUGUUGCAACUCUUCUGAGACUUCAUCUCUACCUUUGCAGGGUGUUUGUCAUGAGACAAAUGUUCUGAGCUAAUACACCAGCUUUCCUGACCAGCUAUUUCUUUUGAUGGCUUUAUGGCUUUAGGUUUAUCCUUCAUAGAGCAAAGAUAGCAAUCAGCCCCAUGCUUUCUGGGGAGAAGCAGGAUGCGGUUCUGCUUUUUAACUUUACUGCAUUAUAGGUAAUAAAUGGCUUUAAAAAAUCACUGCACUGCAGAGUGCCUCUCUGUAUUCUCUGUAAGUGCCUUUUAUAGUGCUCUUGGCCAAAACAGUGCUACUCUGUAUGAUAAAAUGACUGGAAUGUGGUUGGGGCAAUGGUCAAACACGUGGGGCUCAACCUGUCUCACUUACUCUGUAAUUCCUGAGCAACUUUGUGUUAAUAAAGUUAGUAGGUUUGAAUUUCAGUAUAUAGCAAUGCUUUGACCCUUAACUUCGGUGUGGUAGCAUUCAAACCUGGAUGGAUAGUAGUGUCUGUGUCUGACAAUGCGGGUAUCAUUGCAAAUUGUAUUCCAUGUGCUCUCUGCUACCUUGGGAAGAAACCCAUGAUGCAAACAGCACUGAAAACUGAGUGUCAUUGCUGUGAUGUGGCUGAUCCCCUGGUUAGACAGAUAGAUCCCACAAGUGUGGGACCUGAGCAGUCAGCACCUGCACAUGGCUUAAAUGCAAACCUUUUGACUUGGCUCACUGAAGGAGGGUGAGGGGUAUGGCGUGGUGCUUUACUGCACGAUUCCAGAAUCCUCCUGAAGAUGAGCCUGAACUGUAGUGGUUGAGUGGCCUCAUGUUAAUGAAAGAACUAAUCUCCUGAGCUCUGUUUUACACCGCUUCCCCUUAGCAGAAUUGUCUCUUUGCUGCUAUGCACUUCAAAUGACUUGUGUGAAGAUCUGAAUGAGGCUUCUGGCACAGGGACCAGAGAAGCUGGCAAACCUCGUGACUUCCACUUGAGGGGACUUCUUGUUAGCUUUUAUAUCCUCGUCUCAUCUGUGUUAAAACUACAGGCUCUAGGCAGGGCUUUCUCUCAUGUGAUACUGUGUGUACUUCCAGUUCAAUAUAUGGUAAAGGUGGCACCCCCAAAAUAUAAGCAUUUGGCCUAUUUUCUUGUUGCUGUUGUUGUCUCCUAAGAAAAACAUAUGGACAACAACUCUUACAUCUUAAAUGUGGUAUUUUCAUUUGACAUAGUGUGAAUGCCUUUAUUUUUGUGCAGCCGCAGCAAGCAGGAACAUCCCAUAUUAAUCUCCUAAUUUAAAGUUGGAAUGAAAAACUGUCACAACGCUGGGGCCAUCCUUAAUUCACUGAUUGUGCUGGCUGCAUUCCAGCAGUGUAGCUAAUUACAUUCUGCCCACACCAAACUGUCCUUGCUGCGGUGGCUUUUUUUGUCAGUUGCUGGCUUGAAUUUUUGUGUAGUCUCUGCAGACUGACUUCACAUUUUCAGUGCUAAUGGAAGGCUGUUUACAAUGACUAAGCAUCUCUCCCUGAUGAAAGGGAAGCCCUUGGGUUGCUGGGCAGAGCCAGCACAGAGCUCUGUGGGUAGCAGUGAGGUGCCCUGGUGUAGCUGUGUGCACUCUGCUCUGUUGCAGCUCUGUUGCAGGGAGAUGGAGCACCAUGACUUCACAUACCAGACUCACUGCCCACCAGAGGGCUGGGAAGCAGGAGGAUGAUGGUGUUAACCUGGAAGCAGCAGAAGCAGGAGGUCAAGCUGCAUGAGAGCCGGCUGCAGUGUCUGCACCUGUUUGGCUGUGCCUUGUUG